UGCUCGAGCCAACGACAACAGUGACACUGUUUAGACAAAGCCUGACUCUCCAUGGGUGUCUCCAGGUGUUGAAAGUCACAAAAACCCUUAGUAUCAUGAUCAGAAAUGCUACUUAGGAACCAAUGGAGGCAGAGUAACUUUUUUCUAGAGACAAUCAGUCAGAAUGAGGCAGUAGGAAGUCAGGGGGUGAGGUGGGUGAGGCCCGCCCCUCCCCAUAGGUGACCUCCUCAGCUUCAGGCUGCAAAUCCCGGGGAAGGAGGGGGGCGGGGGAGGGCCCCAACAGGACUCUCGCAGCCCUUCUCCUUUCUGGAAAAUAUAGACUGCAGGCUCUGCACAAAUUGCUACAUGAUACCCAACCUCCUGUGACUGAGUAAACCCAGGCACUUGGCUGGCUGAGGCCUUGAUUAUGCUUAAAAAUGUAACUUCCCAAGGUAAACAGAUGUUCCAGGAAGAAGAGCGCCUACACUGAGAACGUCCGGGUUUGGACAUGACCUCUUCUCUCUUCUGGAAGAGAAGUGUGUCUGCACUCUUAAGACACAGCAGUACUGUUCCAAGAAUGCGAUUCUGAGCCUAGCACCAGGAGAAGGGGUGUCUGCAAUAACCAACAGACUCUUCCUUUUCCUUAUCAGCCCAGAGGAACACGUUUUAAAAAAACGUACAAGACUCUGCUAGAUACAGCACACACCUCCUACUGCCACCUUCUUGUGAGCUCCUCACUUGCCUCCUGACUGCCCUGCGGAAUGAAGCACCUACCUCACAAGGUACUGUCAUCGCUGUUUGUGGAAGAUUUCUGAUACCCUGGAAUGGGGGUGGUCCCUGGUUGAAGCCACUGGGGCAGUCCCUUGACAAUGGUUUAGCUUGCCUUCCAAGCCUGGACGCAGCUGUGGUACCUGACUCGUCACUCAUUUGCUGCUGGACGACCUCGCACCUGUGCCGAAGCCGUCCGUCCCCUCGGCUCUGGAAACCCGUGUGCACCCAGAGCCAGAUUCGGGGGCCCUGGCAGGCGCUUCAGGGCUGCAGGUGCGGGCUGGCGGGGCUCACGGGAGGAGCCCAACCUCGGGGACCAGGUACGCCUGGGCCGCUCUCCCAGCUUUGCAUCUCCUGAGCCGUCAGUUUGGGGAAAUUACUUAACUUCUCUAAACCUCAAUUUUUUUUCUAAUGUCAAAUGGAUAAAAGAAAGUUUUCCACCAGCUUUUACAUUAGAUGGUUGCCUCAGAGAAAAAGACCGGCCUUAAGGCCUCAGCCAGCGUUUACAAAUCUAAGACAUGUCUCCUGCGAGUGGCCGCUCCUUUCCCAUCAGCACAGGAUGUGAGGCAACUCGUAUUUUGCCAGUUCUGUUGAGAACCCAAAGCCCAUUCCCCUCCAUUUCCUGAUAUGCUGAGAAGUAGCCUAGAACCUCACACCUCUCGAGGAACACAGUAGCUGUGUUUCUACUAAUUUGUUUAUUUAUCCUUAAUUUAUUUCUUUUCUGUGUUUAUUCAUCUUGCCUGUUUACUACGCACGUUUGAUUGCUUAGUCUUAGCAAAUAAGAUAUAAAAAGAACGCGAUCAGGGAUGCUUAACUUUGCGUAGCUCUGAGCUCACACCUGGUAAAUACUGGAUGGUGUUGACAGGAACCCAGGUCCUGAGUGUGUGCUCCUGAGGGACUGGACAGGUGUCUCCCUUUAUGAGAGGCAGUAUAAGUUUGGUCAAGCUCGGUCGAAACUCUAAGUUGGAGGGCUUCACAUCAGGGUUAUGCUUUUGUUUUGAGCUCCCUUGAAAGGAAGUGUUUUCCACAGUUACGGGAAAGGGCCAACUAUGCCAUUUCUUUAAUUUUAUUUGAUAAUUCUCUUAAAUGUUUUUAGCCAUUGCUUUUACUCCUCAAAAGGGGAAAUGUAAGCCAGUCAACUCACAUUAUGAUCUAGAAAGCAAGCCCACAUGGAGGAAAGGGAAAUGUGGGGGAAGAGGAAUCCUUCAUUUCAAAUCACCCCAUCCAGUGCUGAUCUGCAGGGUUGAAAAGCAGGGUUAGGAGAGAAGCUGGGGCGCAGCUUUAUCAACGAGCUGUCGCAGCUCUGAGGACCGAGGUGUCCUGAGGUUAAGAGGCACAGAGCUUCAACCCUCGUGAGAACUUCAACCCCCGUCAAAGGGGGUCUUUUGCCAGGGGAGGUGGUCAGUGGCCUCGUGGGUAGUUGAAGGGGGCCCUUCCGCUUCUCGCCCUCUGAGAAGGGAGGCAGGGGACGCAGGCCGGGGUUGCGGGGGUUGCUGGCUUGCCAGAACACAAACUGACAAACAGAAACAGAGACAAAGUGCUCCUGACCCUGGAACAGUCCAGCCAGCAGCGUGUAUGUUUCCCCGAUGCAACUCCUAAUGAGACCACAAGGAGGGCCUGGGGGAAACUGCCCUCCUUUGGGGUAGACGUGGUCAAUAUACUGAGAUAUCUUCUCCGCUCUGUAGGUUUUGCAAAUUAGCCUUAAAGAACAUGGGUGGUCACCUGUUUACUCUUAUGGGCCUGUGUUCAAAAUGGAAAUAAA